GAUGAACGCUGGCGGCGUGCUUAACACAUGCAAGUCGAACGAUAAGUGAAGACGGAAACCUUCGGGCGGAAGGCUUGAUUUCGAGUGGCGGACGGGGUAGUAACGCGUGGGUAACCUGCCUCAUACAGGGGGAUAACAGUUGGAAACGACUGUUAAUACCGCAUAAGACCACAGCACCGCAUGGUGCGGGGGUAAAAACUCCGGUGGUAUGAGAUGGACCCGCGUUGGAUUAGCCAGGUGGCGGGGUAACGGCCCACCAAAGCGACGAUCGCUAGCCGAUCUGAGAGGAUGACCGGCCACAUUGGGACUGAGCCACGGCCCAGACUCCUACGGGAGGCAGCAGUGGGGAAUAUUGCACAAUGGGGGAAAGCCUGAUGCAGCUACGCCGCGUGAGUGAUGAAGUACUUAGGGAAGUACAGCUCUAUAAGCCGGGAGGAAAAUGACGGUACCGGAAGAAGAAGCCCCGGCUAACUACGUG
rnacentral:rRNA from 1 species